AAUGGGCGCAAGCCUGAUCUAGCCAUACCGCGAGAGUGAUGAAGGCCCUAGGGUCGUAAAGCUCUUUCGCCAGGGAUGAUAAUGACAGUACCUGGUAAAGAAGUCCCGGCUAACUCCGUGCCAGCAGCCGCGGUAAUACGGAGGGGACUAGCGUUGUUCGGAAUUACUGGGCGUAAAGCGCACGUAGGCGGACUGGAAAGUUGGGGGUGAAAUCCCGGGGCUCAACCCCGGAACUGCCUCCAAAACUCCCAGUCUAGAGUUCGAGAGAGGUGAGUGGAAUUCCGAGUGUAGAGGUGAAAUUCGUAGAUAUUCGGAGGAACACCAGUGGCGAAGGCGGCUCACUGGCUCGAUACUGACGCUGAGGUGCGAAAGCGUGGGGAGCAAACAGGAUU
rnacentral:rRNA from 1 species